CCUACGGGAGGCAGCAGUAGGGAAUCUUCCACAAUGGACGCAAGUCUGAUGGAGCAGCGCCGCGUGAGUGAAGAAGGCUUUCGGGUCGUAAAACUCUGUUGUUGGAGAAGAAUGGUCGGCAGAGUAACUGUUGUCGGCGUGACGGUAUCCAACCAGAAAGCCACGGCUAACUACGUGCCAGCAGCCGCGGUAAU
rnacentral:rRNA from 1 species